UCGAGUCGGCCUGCGCGGAAGAUGUAACGGGGCUAAACUAUGCACCGAAGCUGCGGCAGCGACACUAUGUGUUGUUGGGUAGGGGAGCGUUCUGUAAGCCUGUGAAGGUGUGUCGUGAGGCAUGCUGGAGGUAUCAGAAGUGCGAAUGCUGACAUAAGUAACGAUAAAGCGGGUGAAAAGCCCGCUCGCCGGAAGACCAAGGGUUCCUGUCCAACGUUAAUCGGGGCAGGGUGAGUCGACCCCUAAGGCGAGGCCGAAAGGCGUAGUCGAUGGGAAACGGGUUAAUAUUCCCGUACUUGGUGUUACUGCGAAGGGGGGACGGAGAAGGCUAUGUUGGCCGGGCGACGGUUGUCCCGGUUUAAGCGUGUAGGUGUGUGUUCCAGGUAAAUCCGGUUCACUUUAACACUGAGGCGUGACGACGAGGCACUACGGUGCUGAAGCAACAAAUGCCCUGCUUCCAGGAAAAGCCUCUAAGCAUCAGGUAACAUCAAAUCGUACCCCAAACCGACACAGGUGGUCAGGUAGAGAAUACCAAGGCGCUUGAGAGAACUCGGGUGAAGGAACUAGGCAAAAUGGUGCCGUAACUUCGGGAGAAGGCACGCUGACAC
rnacentral:rRNA from 1 species